AGUGAACGCUGGCGGUAGGCCUAACACAUGCAAGUCGAACGGCAGCACAGUAAGAGCUUGCUCUUACGGGUGGCGAGUGGCGGACGGGUGAGGAAUACAUCGGAAUCUACUUUUUCGUGGGGGAUAACGUAGGGAAACUUACGCUAAUACCGCAUACGACCUACGGGUGAAAGCAGGGGAUCUUCGGACCUUGCGCGAUUGAAUGAGCCGAUGUCGGAUUAGCUAGUUGGCGGGGUAAAGGCCCACCAAGGCGACGAUCCGUAGCUGGUCUGAGAGGAUGAUCAGCCACACUGGAACUGAGACACGGUCCAGACUCCUACGGGAGGCAGCAGUGGGGAAUAUUGGACAAAGGGCGAAAGCCUGAUCCAGCCAUACCGCGUGGGUGAAGAAGGCCUUCGGGUUGUAAAGCCCUUUUGUUGGGAAAGAAAAGCAGCAGGUUAAUACACCGAUGUUCUGACGGUACCCAAAGAAUAAGCACCGGCUAACUUCGUG
rnacentral:rRNA from 1 species